AUUGAACGCUGGCGGCAUGCUUUACACAUGCAAGUCGAACGGUAACAGGGUGCUUGCACCGCUGACGAGUGGCGAACGGGUGAGUAAUGCGUCGGAACGCACCGAGUAAUGGGGGAUAACGCAGCGAAAGCUGUGCUAAUACCGCAUACGCUCUGAGGAGGAAAGCGGGGGACCUUUGGGCCUCGCGUUAUUCGAGCGGCCGACGUCUGAUUAGCUAGUAGGUGAGGUAAGAGCUCACCUAGGCGACGAUCAGUAGCGGGUCUGAGAGGAUGAUCCGCCACACUGGGACUGAGACACGGCCCAGACUCCUACGGGAGGCAGCAGUGGGGAAUUUUGGACAAUGGGCGCAAGCCUGAUCCAGCCAUGCCGCGUGUCUGAAGAAGGCCUUCGGGUUGUAAAGGACUUUUGUCAGGGAGGAAAUCCUUAGCGCUAAUACCGUUGAGGGAUGACAGUACCUGAAGAAUAAGCACCGGCUAACUACGUGCCAGCCGCCGCUGUAAGAC
rnacentral:rRNA from 1 species